rnacentral:rRNA from 1 species
UACGUAGGGGGCGAGCGUUAUCCGGAAUUAUUGGGCGUAAAGAGUGCGUAGGUGGUUUUUUAAGCGUGGGGUGAAAGGCAAUAGCUUAACUAUUGUAAGCCCCGCGAACUGGGAGACUUGAGUGCAGGAGAGGAAAGCGGAAUUCCUAGUGUAGCGGUGAAAUGCGUAGAUAUUAGGAGGAACACCAGUGGCGAAGGCGGCUUUCUGGACUGUAACUGACACUGAGGCACGAAAGCGUGGGGAGCAAACAGGAUUAGAUACCCCGGUAGUCCCUGAGCGGGCU